CAGGCUCUCUGAGGGUCAGGUGUGGGAUGAGAAGCAGAGGAGCUCAGGAUGGAGCUGAGGUCUUCCAUCGAAGCUGUUGUGAAGAUGGGGAGCUUGGGGAGAGGCUGGCCAGGAUAUUGGGACUGUGCUGGGUCUGGAGGGCUGAGCUGUAACUGUCCUGGAGCACAUCAGGCUGGCCAGCCCCAUUCAGGGAGAUCAGAGGGAAGAGGACCAGAGCUGUCCCAAGGCUGCAAGGCCACCUACACUUCUCAUCCAGGAGCUGUCCCUGCCAUAGGCUCCAGGUGGGCAGAGUGAGGAGCACCGACCGGGGCUUUCUGGAGUAUCAGGUUUGCUCCUCAGAGAGCAGGAGUUUCAUGCGGCUAGCAGCCAAUCAGAGCUCUGCUGUGUUUAAUUAAGGUAAUUUUCCUACUUGGCUCCAGAUGUGGAGAUGAGAUUCCAUUUUAUUGUUUGGAGAAUGCAUCCUUCCAAGCUUAUGUCACCAGAAUGGAAUGCAGCCACACAUCGAAUGUGACAGGUCUGUGUCUUCUGAGGGAAGAGCCAAGGCUGGGACAAGUCUUGGGCCUUUCUUUCACUCUUGCAGUCUUCUGGUUCCUGGAAGUGGCCUGUGAGGUGAUGGAGCCCAUGGACAAUGUCAUGUGGGAGAGAAGCAGUGGG
rnacentral:lncRNA from 1 species